UGCAAGCUGGUGCAGCCACUCUGGAAAACAGUAUGGAGUCUCCUCAAGAAGUUAAAAAUAGAGCUACCCUACCACCCAGCAAUUGCAAUACUAGGUAGUUACCCAAAUGAUACAAACAUACUGAUACAAAUGGAUA